CCCUUAGAUGUUCUGGGCCGCACGCGUGCUACACUGAGUGGAUCAGCGGGUCAGGUUGCGCGAAAGUGUUUCCUAAUCUUUAAAUCCGCUCGUGAUGGGGAUUGACGGUUGCAAUUUUCCGUCAUGAACGAGGAAUACCUUGUAAGCGCGGGUCAUCAUCCCGCGCUGAAUACGUCCCUGCCCUUUGUACACACCGCCCGGCGCUCCUACCGAUUGAGUGGUCCGGUGAGGCUUUGGGAUCUGAGCGGAAAGAGCGUUUCGCUGUUUCUGCCCGGAAAACUCAGUCGAACCUUAUCAUUUAGAGGAAGGAGAAGUCGUAACA
rnacentral:rRNA from 1 species